GGACAAGUAGCUCAGCUGGUAGAGCAACGGACUCUUAAUCCGUGGGUCCUGGGUUCGAGCCCCAGCUUGUCCA
rfam:Weissella ceti strain WS74, complete genome.